rnacentral:rRNA from 1 species
GAUGAACGCUGGCGGCGUGCCUAAUACAUGCAAGUCGAGCGAACAGACGAGGAGCUUGCUCCUUCGACGUUAGCGGCGGACGGGUGAGUAACACGUAGGUAACCUACCUAUAAGACUGGGAUAACUUCGGGAAACCGGAGCUAAUACCGGAUAAUAUUUCGAACCGCAUGGUUCGAUAGUGAAAGAUGGCUUUGCUAUCACUUAUAGAUGGACCUGCGCCGUAUUAGCUAGUUGGUAAGGUAACGGCUUACCAAGGCAACGAUACGUAGCCGACCUGAGAGGGUGAUCGGCCACACUGGAACUGAGACACGGUCCAGACUCCUACGGGAGGCAGCAGUAGGGACUCUUCCGCAAUGGGCGAAAGCCUGACGGAGCAACGCCGCGUGAGUGAUGAAGGUCUUCGGAUCGUAAAACUCUGUUAUUAGGGAAGAACAAACGUGUAAGUAACUGUGCACGUCUUGACGGUACCUAAUCAGAAAGCCACGGCUAACUACGUG